rnacentral:piRNA from 1 species
ACAAGAACUAGUUCCAGGACAGCCUU